AGUUUGAUUCUGGCUCAGAACAAACGCUGGCGGCGUGCCUAACACAUGCAAGUCGUACGGAAAGGGUCCUUCGGGACCUGAGUAAAGUGGCGCACGGGUGAGUAACGCGUGGAUAAUCGCCCUUCAGUUGGGAAUAACUCAUCGAAAGGUGGGCUAAUACCGAAUGAUACUGCGAGAUUUGGUCGAGCAGUCAAAGAGAGCCUCUGCUUGCAAGCCCUCGCUGAAGGAUGAGUCCGGUACCAUUAGCUAGUUGGUAGGGUAAUGGCCUACCAAGGCGACGAUGGUUAGCUGGUCUAGAGGAUGAUCAGCCACACUGGAACUGAGACACGGUCCAGACUCCUACGGGAGGCAGCAUGAGGAAUCUUGCGCAAUGGGGGCAACCCUGACGCAGCAACGCCGCGUGAGUGAGGAAGUCUUCGGAUCGUAAAGCUCUGUCAGAUGGAAAGAACCGCAUGGGGAUAAAUAGUCCUCGGUCUGACGGUACCAUCAGAGGAAGCACCGGCUAACUCCGUGCCAGCAGCCGCGGUAAU
rnacentral:rRNA from 1 species